rnacentral:lncRNA from 1 species
UGCAUGCUUCUAGCUCAUGUUAGUUUUUGUUUUGUUUUUCUUGGUAUGAAUUACUGUAUAAAUUACUCAAAAAAAAAAAACAACAAUAAGAAAACAAGCUUGUUACAAUAUAUAUGUUAUGGAAGUUUAAUCAAUCGUUAAUCCAUUCAUAAAUACAUGCACUAAUUAAUUUUUGUUGAUCUCAUGUAAUGGCCGAUCUCUUUUUAGGUAUGAACAUAUAGAUAUUCGGAUU